UACGUAGGGUGCAAGCGUUGUCCGGAAUUAUUGGGGCGUAAAGAGCUCGUAGGCGGUUUGUCGCGUCGAAUGUGAAAACCCGGGGCUCAACCCCGGGCCUGCAGUCGAUACGGGCAGACUAGAGUGCUGUAGGGGAGACUGGAAUUCCUGGUGUAGCGGUGAAAUGCGCAGAUAUCAGGAGGAACACCGGUGGCGAAGGCGGGUCUCUGGG
rnacentral:rRNA from 1 species